rnacentral:misc_RNA from 1 species
GAAAUGCGAUAAGUAAUGUGAAUUGCAGAAUUCAGUGAAUCAUCGAAUCUUUGAACGCAUAUUGCGCCCCUUGGUAUUCCUUGGGGCACACCUGUUCGAGCGUCAUUUCACCAAUCAAGCCUCGCUUGGUAUUGGGCGAUGCGCAUGCCGCACGCCCCAAAUGCACCGGCCGAGCGUGCUCUCCCCCGGCGUCGUGGAGACAUAUCGCCACGGGGACGGGACCGCCCUCGUGCAGCAAAUACCUCUUUUAAAGGUUGACCUCGGAUCAGGUGGGGAUACCCGCUGAACUUAA